rnacentral:rRNA from 1 species
UACAGAGGGGGCAAGCGUUGUUCGGAAUUACUGGGCGUAAAGGGCGCGUAGGCGGCCUGCUAAGUCGAACGUGAAAUCCCUGGGCUCAACCCAGGAACUGCGUCCGAUACUGGUUGGCUUGAAUCCGGGAGAGGGACGUGGAAUUCCAGGUGUAGCGGUGAAAUGCGUAGAUAUCGUAAGGAAGACCAGUGGCGAAGGCGGGUCUCUGGACAGUUCCUGACGCUGAGGCACGAAGGCCAGGGGAGCAAACGGG